rnacentral:rRNA from 1 species
CCUACGGGAGGCAGCAGUGGGGAAUAUUGCACAAUGGGGGAAACCCUGAUGCAGCGACGCCGCGUGAGUGAAGAAGUAUUUCGGUAUGUAAAGCUCUAUCAGCAGGGAAGAGAAUGACGGUACCUGAGUAAGAAGCCCCGGCUAACUACGUGCCAGCAGCAGCGGUAAUACGUAGGGGGCAAGGGUUAUCCGGAUUUACUGGGUGAAAAGGGAGGGUAGACGGCGAAGAAAGUCUGAAGUGAAAGCCCGCGGCUCAACCGCGGAACUGCUUUGGAAACGUUUUUGCUGGAGUACCGGAGAGGUAAGCGGAAUUCCUAGUGUAGCGGUGAAAUGCGUAGAGAUUAGGAGGAACACCAGUGGCGAAGGCGGCUUACUGGACGGUAACUGACGUUGAGGCUCGAAAGCGUGGGGAGCAAACAGGAUUAGAUACCCUUGUAGUC